CGGACGGGUGAGUAAUGCCUAGGAAUCUGCCUGGUAGUGGGGGACAACGUUUCGAAAGGAACGCUAAUACCGCAUACGUCCUACGGGAGAAAGCAGGGGACCUUCGGGCCUUGCGCUAUCAGAUGAGCCUAGGUCGGAUUAGCUAGUUGGUGAGGUAAUGGCUCACCAAGGCGACGAUCCGUAACUGGUCUGAGAGGAUGAUCAGUCACACUGGAACUGAGACGCGGUCCAG
rnacentral:rRNA from 1 species